rnacentral:rRNA from 3 species
GGACUACUCGGGUAUCUAAUCCCGUUCGCUCCCCUAGCUUUCGCGCCUCAGCGUCAGAAGAGGUCCAGCACGUCGCUUUCGCCACCGGCGUUCCUUCCGAUAUCAACGCAUUUCACCGCUCCACCGGAAGUUCCACAUGCCCCUACCUCCCUCCAGACCAUCAGUAUCAAAGGCAGUUUUCCGGUUGAGCCGAAAGAUUUCACCUCUGACUUGAUGGCCCGCCUACGCGCCCUUUAAGCCCAGUGAUUCCGAACAACGUUUGCACGGUUCGUCUUACCGCGGCUGCUGGCAC